rnacentral:rRNA from 1 species
GAUGAACGCUAGCGGCAGGCCUAAUACAUGCAAGUCGAACGGGCGGUAGCAAUACCGCUAGUGGCGCACGGGUGCGUAACGCGUAACCAACCUGCCCAGAUCUGGGGGAUAGCCCGCCGAAAGGCGGAUUAAUACCGCAUAAACCCACAGUGUGGCAUCACAUAAUGGGUAAAGAUUUAUCGGAUCUGGAUGGGGUUGCGUAGCAUUAGCUAGUUGGCGGGGUAAUGGCCCACCAAGGCGACGAUGCUUAGGGGACCUGAGAGGGUGAUCCCCCACACUGGCACUGGGAUACGGGCCAGACUCCUACGGGAGGCAGCAGUAGGGAAUAUUGGGCAAUGGGCGAGAGCCUGACCCAGCCAGGCCGCGUGCCGGAUGAAGGCCUUCUGGGUUGUAAACGGCUUUUCUCAGGGAAGAAAACGGGGAUGCGUCCUCAACUGACGGUACCUGAGGAAUAAGCACCGGCUAACUCCGUG